rnacentral:rRNA from 1 species
UUUAAAUUUAGAGUUUGAUCCUGGCUCAGGACGAACGCUGGCGGCGUGCUUAACACAUGCAAGUCGAGCGAUGAAGCUUUCUUCGGGAAGUGGAUUAGCGGCGGACGGGUGAGUAACACGUGGGU